CUUGGAACCACACAAACUAAUACAUCUGGAGACAGGAAUCUCAAAUACAAAUAUAUGAGUAUUAAGGAAAAAGCUGGAACAAAUUAGCACAUACCAAGGCACAACUGCAGAGAAAAGCAAGGUAGAGAACAAGAGAUGACUGUUGCCAGAGUAGAGGAUAAAGAAGUCAUGGAGAGUACUGACUUCAGAGAGAUCUAGGGGCUGGCAGAUGCUGCUCCAUCUAGAAGACCCUGCUAAUAAUCACAGCUGCAUUUGCUAGACUGUUGAGUCCGGAUUCUGCUACUUGUGUCAAGGCUGAGCUGGCGGCUAAAGAUCACCAAGGAAUGUGGUUAAAAGCAGAGUCUAAGACUCCCUCCUGGAGAUCUGGAUUUAGAGAUUAAGGGGAGGGACCUGCAAUUAAUAUUAAAUUCUUUUUUCCUGAUAAA